GGAAAUUAAAAUUGAAAGCCUGGUUUUUGCAUAAGGGUGAUGUUAAUGAUACUCAAACUGCUGUUUCUCCCUCUUCUAGUGGCAUGAGAUUACAAGACUUGGGCCUCAAAAAUGACUAUCUUAAUGAACAGGACCCAGACAUUCGCUUCACUUUGACCCACUCUUAUGUUUCGUAACCGGAGGGGAUUAUUGUCACUCACGUUUAUAUAUAAAAAUGUUCCGUUUAUUCAUUUACAAUAAAUAACACUCAAUCUAGUUAUUGUUUGAUAUUUU